GAUGAACGCUAGCGGCAGGCUUAAUACAUGCAAGUCGAGGGACAGCACAGGUAGCAAUACUGGGUGGUAACCGGCAAACGGGUGCGGAACACGUACACAACCUUCCAUUAAGUGGGGGAUGGCCCAGAGAAAUUUGGAUUAAUACCCCGUAAUAUAGUUGAGUGGCAUCAUUUGAUUAUUAUAGCUACGGCGCUUAAUGAUGGGUGUGCGGCUGAUUAGAUAGUUGGCGGGGUAACGGCCCACCAAGUCUACGAUCAGUAGCUGAUGUGAGAGGAUGAUCAGCCACACGGGCACUGAGACACGGGCCCGACUCCUACGGGAGGCAGCAGUAAGGAAUAUUGGUCAAUGAACGCAAGUCUGAACCAGCCAUGCCGCGUGAAGGAUUAAGGUCCUCUGGAUUGUAAACUUCUUUUAUUUGGGACGAAAAAGGGCCUUUCUAGGUCAACUGACGGUACCAGAUGAAUAAGCACCGGCUAACUCCGUGCCAGCCGCCGCCGUAACAC
rnacentral:rRNA from 1 species